rnacentral:rRNA from 1 species
UACGUAGGGGGCAAGCGUUGUCCGGAAUCAUUGGGCGUAAAGAGCGUGUAGGCGGUCCGGUAAGUCAGAUGUGAAAGCCCCGGGCUCAACCUGGGAAUUGCAUUUGAGACUGCUCUGCUCGGGUGCGGAAGAGGGAAGCGGAAUUUCCGGUGUAGCGGUGAAAUGCGCAGAUAUCGGGAAGAACACCCGUGGCGAAGGCGGCUCUCUGGGACGGUACUGACGCUGAGACGCGAAAGCGUGGGGAGCGAACAGG